rnacentral:rRNA from 1 species
AGCGAAUAGAUACCCAGGUAGUCCACGCCCUAAACGAUGUCGACUAGGUGUUCGGUGAGGAGACUCAUUGAGUACCGCAGCUAACGCGUGAAGUCGACCGCCUGGGGAGUACGGUCGCAAGAUUAAAACUCAAAGGAAUUGACGGGGACCCGCACAAGCGGUGGAUGAUGUGGAUUAAUUCGAUGCAACGCGAAAAACCUUACCUACCCUUGACAUGUACGGAACCCUGCUGAGAGGUGGGGGUGCUCGAAAGAGAGCCGUAACACAGGUGCUGCAUGGCUGUCGUCAGCUCGUGUCGUGAGAUGUUGGGUUAAGUCCCGCAACGAGCGCAACCCUUGUCAUUAGUUGCUACGCAAGAGCACUCUAAUGAGACUGCCGGUGACAAACCGGAGGAAGGUGGGGAUGACGUCAAGUCCUCAUGGCCCUUAUGGGUAGGGCUUCACACGUCAUACAAUGGUCGGUACAGAGGGUUGCCAAGCCGCGAGGUGGAGCCAAUCCCAGAAAGCCGAUCGUAGUCCGGAUCGCAGU